UGGAUAUAUGAUACUAUACGGAUUGGCUUUAGUCCAAGUGGGAGUUGUUAGAAAUUGUAUCCUAAAGUCAAUCAUUUGACGAUUGUGCUAAUUAUAAAUAUAAAUGAAUUGAUCAAUAAUAAAAGUUAUUUGAUCUUUUUUUUCAUUAUAAGGUUACAUCUUUUAAUGAAUUUUUAUGUUGUGAUGAAGUCCUUAGGAUUACUUUGAUCGAUAAAAGAGAAUUUAUCACAUAGUCCUUAAAUUAGUUCGCAACCAAAUGAUACGCUAUUAGUAGGAUGAUAGUGAUAUCAAGUGUAGAUUGUUGUGU
rnacentral:lncRNA from 1 species